AUCUUGCGCAAUGGCCGAAAGGCUGACGCAGCGACGCCGCGUGUGGGAUGAAGCAUUUCGGUGUGUAAACCACUGUUGCCCGGGACGAACAGCCUGUUUCGACAGGUCUGGCGGUACCGGGUGAGGAAGCACCGGCUAACUCCGUGCCAGCAGCCGCGGUAAGACAGAGGUGCCGAGCGUUAGGCGGAAUCACUGGGCUUAAAGCGCGUGUAGGCGGACCGUUAAGUGCCCGUGUGAAAUCCCCCGGCUCAACCGGGGAACGGCCGGGCAUACUGGCGGUCUUGGGCCACCCAGGGGUCACCGGAACAGGCGGUGGAGCGGUGAAAUGCGUAGAUAUCGCCUGGAACGCCGACGGUGAAAACAGGUGACUGGGGGUGCGCCGACGCUGAGACGCGAAAGCCAGGGGAGCGAAC
rnacentral:rRNA from 1 species